UACGGAGGGUGCAAACGUUGCUCGGAAUCACUGGGCGUAAAGCGCACGUAGGCGGAUCUUUAAGUCAGGGGUGAAAUCCUGGAGCUCAACUCCAGAACUGCCUUUGAUACUGGAGAGCUUGAGUCCGGAAGAGGUGAGUGGAAUUCCGAGUGUAGAGGUGAAAUUCGUAGAUAUUCGGAAGAACACCAGUGGCGAAGGCGGCUCACUGGACCGGCAUUGACGCUGAGGUGCGAAAGCGUGGGGAGCAAACAGG
rnacentral:rRNA from 1 species